rnacentral:lncRNA from 1 species
GACUCCCACCAUUCUUGCUUCCUCCUGCAGAGUGAGAAGAGAGAUACUCAAAUAGCUAAGCAAAUGGAGGUACAUGCCAGUCUUUCUUCUUUUAUACACAACAGACAAAAGUGUUGCGGGGCUAGACACCAACCAGCUGUUUUUUUCCCCUGGAACGAGAUCAUCAUACUGCUGAGUUCCUUCAACCCAUCAAAGUACAGCCUUCCUUCCAAUGUUGCAUAAUCUGUUCAAAAUCACAGUAUAAAUACAAAGUUCUUCAAUCCAUUUUACAAAACCAGCAAAACUCUACAAUAAAAUCCUACAGGAAAAAGUAGACCAAUCUCAUUUACAAACAGCAUUUUAACAGUAAUUAUUAAAUGUUACAAAACAUAAGAUACAAAAUCUAAAUCCUUAAAGUCACACGAUUUCUACAGAAAUAAGACCCUCGCCCCACCCAUAUUACUUAUGACUCAGGACAGUAGCUCGUCCUCACGGGGACCCACUGGCCAACUUUUCACCAACCCUCACCAGAGGUGGAUGCCGGCCCUAGCACUGGCCCUGGCCCUCAUACUGGCUUCAGCUCUGGCCUUGGCUCUGGCCCUGUCGGCCUCGUCUGCUAGGGCCUCACGGUACUGCACUGGCCAGUGCUGCGGUUCCUUCUUAUGCAGUUUGGCCACGAACCCCAGGACUUUCAUCUUGCUGAUUUCCAGGUGGCUUCGGGGACCCCAAGAGAAUUCAUAUUCCGGUGGAUUGGUGUGAGGCACCCGCCUGUAACUGAGAUAUCGCUGCUGCACAAAAUCUUCCAUAAUAAGCCUCUUCGGAUACCCAAAGAGGAAAUGAUACUUUGAGGGUUGCACCCCCAACCGACGCAGCAUCUCCCAGACCUGGGCCUCCCUGGCGCUAUUACCUCUCAUAUAGAUAAGGCCCAGGAUCAUCAUUAACAGACCCAAUCUGGGGCCAUCUCCUCCCAGAUCCUCCUCCUCCUCCUCCUCCUCCUCCUCCAGAGGUUUUAGUUUGUUGAUCAGGAUGUAAGUGUGGUGCUUGCGGUCAAACUGUUUCAGCUCAAAACCAAAGACAUACCGCAGAUGCUCUGCGGCCCUUGCGAUGAUGUCCGGGAACAGAAUCUUCAAGUCUCCAAUAACGUAUUUCACCAUCUCCGAGCGUGUGAUGGGACUCUUCUUCUUGUCUUUCACCAGGAGGAACUGCACCAACUCCGCCACCGUCCGAUUCAGACGGCGGUAGGCCCUGCGCCUUGCCAAGGCUUUGGCCGCCAAGGCCCUCGCGCCUUUCCGGGUGAGGGCGGGCUCCGCAGCCCCCUCCUCCCUCCCGGCGCCAAGCUCCUCCUUGGGGCGCUCCUGCGAGGCGGUCGGGGCCCGGGUCUCACCAUCAUGGCCGCCAUCCUUCUCCCCCUCGGCCUGCGGGACCGGGAGCCCCCCGCUCUCUGGUGUCUGCAACAUGUUUUCGGGCAGGCAGGUGCAGAGCGCGUACACGGGCCGAGGGGUGUGGGAGCCGCCGCGCAAGCCCCGGGGGAGGGGUUGGACAGCGGCAGUGGCGGCGGGAGUACAAGGAGCAAUGGCAGCGGGAGCUUUGUGGCUGCUGGGCGGCACCGCACGGGAGUCAAACCUGCGGCCGC